rnacentral:tRNA from 1 species
GAGGGUGGAGCUCAGUGGUAGAGCGUGUGCUUAGCAUGCACGAGGUCCUGGGUUCAAUCCCCAGUACCUCCA